UUUUUUUUAACAUGCACUAUGUGUUGUGACUUGGGAGUUUUCCUGUUUUACCACCUGAUGUUGCCAUGGAGCUGGAGAAGUGAAUCCAAUUACAGGUGUUUUAGAUCUGCUGCUGAUUGUGCCUGCCAGACCAAGAGUAUUUAGGAGCCUGCCACCAGUCCUUCGUCAUCUGAGUGUUAAACGUGUGCUUCUACCUGUGAGGUGUGGGCGGAUCUAAGCCAACUCUGUACCAGGAAACCUAUAAGACUGACAGAUCCACUCUCUGGUUAUUCAAAGCCCUGUCUGGCGUCUUGGCUCCUGAUCUCAGCAAUCCCUGCAAAUCAUAAGUUUGUCAUCUCUGGAGGUAAACACAUCGGCACUGUUUUUGGACCGCUCUUUCUCGGACCCAGAUCCUAAGACCCCGAUUAGAAGUUCCUUCCCUGCUCCUAACAUCCCCGACUGCAAAAAGGAACAAGAAGCUAGGCGAGGCCGCCUGUGAGACCUGAUCGAUGCCUCUCUGUGAAUCUCAGAACACGACCAGAAAAAUAAACCUGUUAAACUUU